ACGCUCCAGUCAGAUUUAAGAUGUGUGUGCAAAAGGGAUUUAUUUACAAUCAUAGCAAUCAAACGAGUUAAAACGACAUGUAUUUAUGGAAAAUGAUCUGGCGAGUUUAAUAACGGCGAAUUAAGCUUUCUCAUUCCUUUAUUGCAUCACGUUAGCUCACACGAAUUAUUAUUUUGAUUAAACCGAAUUUGGCUUCUUACGUCGAUUUUCCUUAAUUCUCUCGAUAAUGUUAUAGAUAAAGGAUAAAUGUGUCAACUCCUCUCUUGCUGCGCAAAACAUUUUUGGGGGUGGUUUUUAGGCCUUGUCCGUGUGUUUCGAGUGGUCAUUGAUCUGGAAAUGUUAUCUCAACCUAGCAACACUAGAAAGAAGCAUACUACAUUGUUGUUUACAAAGGCUGUGGAGUAGAAGCUAGCCUAGGCUAAUCAGACAGAGGUUUCAACCAACAUUUCUUUGAUAAAACGAACAGCUAGACUUUCAUAACCAUCGUCAAUAUGUCAAAACUACAGUUGUUUAAUGUGUUCGUCACCGAGCGCUUGCCGGGAGCUGCUGUGGAGAUAUUCGUGGCCGUGGAGAAGAUUAUAGCAGAGUAUCAGCAAGAACUCUGCUGUUCAGCAGAGGAGAUCGAGCACCUACGGAGGCUGUUGGACAUGGUUUUCCAACCAGAGAUUAAGUUACACGGAGCAGGGUAGAACGACUGCCCCCACCCAUGGAAGCCACGAAGUUCGAGUCCGUUUCCCUGUGCUUGACAUACGCAGUCUCUGCCAGGAUAGCAUGAAGUACAAAGACUGCACCGUUUUCCAACUGCAUCUCCAUCCCGAAUCUUCCCAUUGCCCCCCAGCAACAUUAGCCUACAUUUAGGCCAUUGCUUAUAUAUGUUGAGGUAAAGAUCGGAGUAUAAUGCUGUAUAGAUGUCAACCCCAAUACAUGUUCAUGACAUCGUCAUCAAUCAACCGCAUUACAGUUAAAAACUACUGACCACCACCACCACCUAUUUCUAUAUGCUAACUAUGCUACCAGUUUAUAUGAAUGGGAGUUAUCAUUUAGCAGUCACUUUUUCCCGAACCUGAAAAGUGACAACUGAUACAUUUUAUGCAGUGAAAACACCCAAAUAUAUCCAAAUCUUAUUUUAGUAACCACAUUGUGGGCCUGUUACAAUCCAUCAAUCAUGAUGGAUUUGACAAAUAUCCACUCUGUUAGAUCAGAUUUGUUGAAUGUACGCCAAUCCAGCGUCCUGUCCCCCAUGGUCUGCUACCAUUGACCUCUUUACCACAUCUAUCCCAAUGACAUAUAUACACUGCUCAAAAAAAUAAAGGGAACACUAAAAUAACACAUCCUAGAUCUGAAUGAAUGAAAUAUUCUUAUUAAAUACUUUUUUCUUUACAUAGUUGAAUGUGCUGACAACAAAAUCACACAAAAAUUAUCAAUGGAAAUCAAAUGUAUCAACCCAUGGAGGUCUGGGUUUGGAGUCACACUCAAAAUUAAAGUGGAAAACCACACUACAGGCUGAUCCAACUUUGAUGUAAUGUCCUUAAAACAAGUCAAAAUGAGGCUCAGUAGUGUGUGUGGCCUCCACGUGCCUGCAUGACCUCCCUACAACGCCUGGGCAUGCUCCUGAUGAGGUGGCGAAUGGUUUCCUGAGGGAUCUCCUCCCAGACCUGGACUAAAGCAUCCGCCAACUCCUGGACAGUCUAUGGUGCAACGUGGCGUUGGUGGAUGGAGCGAGACAUGAUGUCCCAGAUGUGCUCAAUUGGAUUCAGGUCUGGGGAACGGGCAGGCCAGUCCAUAGCAUCAAUGCCUUCCUCUUGCAGGAACUGCUGACACACUCCAGCCACAUGAGGUCUAGCAUUGUCUUGCAUUAGGAGGAACCCAGGGCCAACCGCACCAGCAUAUGGUCUCACAAGGGGUCUGAGGAUCUCAUCUCGGUACCUAAUGACAGUCAGGCUACCUCUGGCGAGCACAUGGAGGGCUGUGCGGCCCCCCAAAGAAAUGCCACCCCACACCAUGACUGACCCACCGCCAAACCGGUCAUGCUGGAGGAUGUUGCAGGCAGCAGAACGUUCUCCACGGCGUCUCCAGACUCUGUCACGUCUGUCACAUGUGCUCAGUGUGAACCUGCUUUCAUCUGUGAAGAGCACAGGGCGCCAGUGGCGAAUUUGCCAAUCUUGGUGUUCUCUGGCAAAUGCCAAACGUCCUGCACGGUGUUGGGCUGUAAGCACAACCCCCACCUGUGGAUGUCGGGCCCUCAUACCACCCUCAUGGAGUCUGUUUCUGACCGUUUGAGCAGACACAUGCACAUUUGUGGCCUGCUGGAGGUCAUUUUGCAGGGCUCUGGCAGUGCUCCUCCUGCUCCUCCUUGCACAAAGGUGGAGGUAGCGGUCCUGCUGCUGGGUUGUUGCCCUCCUACGGCCUCCUCCACGUCUCCUGAUGUACUGGCCUGUCUCCUGGUAGCGCCUCCAUGCUCUAGACACUACGCUGACAAACCUUCUUGCCACAGCUCGCAUUGAUGUUCCAUCCUGGAUGAGCUGCACUACCUGAGCCACUUGUGUGGGUUGUAGACUCUGCCUCAUGCAACCACUAGAGUGAAAGCACCGCCAGCAUUCAAAGUGACCAAAACUUCAGCCAGGAAGCAUAGGAACUGAGAAGUGGUCUGUGGUCUCCACCUGCAGAACCACUCCUUUAUUGGGGGUGUCUUGCUAAUUGCCUAUAAUUUCCACCUGUUGUCUAUUCCAUUUGCACAACAGCAUGUGAAAUUUAUUGUCAAUCAGUGUUGCUCCCUAAGUGGACAGUUUGAUUUCACAGAAGUGUGAUUGACUUGGAGUUACAUUGUGUUGUUUAAGUGUUCCCUUUAUUUUUUGAGCAUAUAUAUAUAUAUAUAUAUAUAUAUACACACACUAAAUUACUGCUAGGUGGUGCUGGGUCGAAGCCACCGCGCCUCCAUCUUGGCACUUCGGGAAGCUAUAUAAAAGCAUUUAUUAAUGUCUACAUUAAUCUCUGGUACAUUUAUUCUAUUACAGACACAUUAAUGCAAAAAUGAGCAUAUUUUUUUUUGGGGGGGGGGGUAUAUACAGUCAAAUGUAUUGAUAAGUCAAUUUGUCCUAGAAAGAUUUACACAGUUAUCAAAACGCCACGUUAAUGUUUUUAAAAUCCCCUAUGGGAAAAAUGAAUGGUGUAAAAACGAUUGGAACCAUUUCCUUCUUCGACCGCUAGGUUUUAUGGGUAUUAUGACUCAUACUUAGGUUACUCCACAUGGCUGACCAGUGGCUUCAAAGCCUCUCAAUGGCCAAUACAUACAGUGCAUUCGGAAAGUAGUCAGACCUUGACUUUUUCCACAUUUUGUUAUGUUACAGCCUUAAUUCUAAAAUGUAUUCAAUUGUUUUUUUCUUCUCAUCAAUCUACACACAAUUCCCCAUGACAAACAAAAACAGGUUGAUCACGUCACUGAUAUAAUUUACAUAAGUAAUAAGACCCUUUAUUCAGUACUUUUUUGAAGCACCUUUGGCAGCGAUUACAGCCUUGAGUCUUCUUGGGUAUUUUUUGUUUUAUAUUUAUUUAACCAUGUAGGCCAGUUGAGAACAAGUUCUCAUUUACAACUGCGACCUGGCCAAGAUAAAGCAAAGGAGUGCGACAAAAACAACACAGUUACACAUGGGAUAAACAAACGUACAGUCAAUAACACAAUAGAAAAAUCUAUGUACAGUGUGUGCAAAUGUAGAAGAUUAGGGAGGAAAGGCAAUAAAUAGGCCAUCGAGGCAAAAUAAUUACAAUUUACCAUUAGUAUGUAUGCACUACAAGCUUGGCACACCUGCAUUUGGGGAGUUUCUCUGAUGUCUUCUAUGCAGUUCCUCUCAUCCUCUGUCAAGUUGGAUGGGGAGCGUCGCUGCACAGCUGUUUUCAGGUCUCUCCAGAGAUGUUCAAUCGGGUUCAAGUCCGGGCUCUGGCUGGGCCACUCAAGAACAUUCAGAGACUUGUCCCGAAGCCACACCUGCAUUGUCUUGGCUGUGUGCUUAGGGUCGUUGUCCUGUUGGAAGGUGAGCCUUUGCCCCAGUCUGAGGUCCUGAGCACUCUGGAGCAGGUUUUCAUCAAGGAUCUCUCUGUACUUUGCUCCAUUCAUCUUUGCCUUGAUCCUGACUAGUCCUGACAUCCUCACAGCAUGAUGCCGACACCGCCAUGCUUCACCGUAGGGAUGGUGCCUGGUUUCCUCUAGACGUGACGCUUGGCAUUCAGGCCAAAGAGUUCAAUCUUGGUUUCAUCAGACCAGAGAAUCUUGUUUCUCAUGGUCUGAGAGUCUUUUAGGUGCCUUUUGGAAAACUCCAAGCGGGCUGUCGUGCCUUUUUACUGAGUAGUGGCUUCCGUCUGGCCACUCUACCUUAAAGGCAUGAAUGGUGGAGUGCUGCAGAGAUGGUUGUCCUUCUGGAAGGUUCUACCAUCUCCACAGAGGAACUCUGGAACUCUGUCAGAGUGACCAUCAGGUUCUUGGUCAUCUCCCUGACCAAGGCCAUUCUCCCACGAUUGCUCAGUUUGGUGGGACGGCCAGCUCUAGGAAAAGUCUUGGUGAUUCCAAACUUCUUCCAUUUAAGAAUGUAGGCCAUUAGGUUCUUGGGGACCUUCAAUGCUGCAGAAAUGUUUUGGUACCCUUCCCCAGAUCUGUGCCUCGACACAAUCCUGUCUCGGUGCUCUACAGACAAUUCAUGUGACCUCAUGACUUGGUUUUUUCUGUGGGACCUUAUGUAGACAGGUGUGUUCCUUUCCAAAUCAUGUCCAAUCAAUUGAAUUUACCACCAAUCAAGUUGUAGAAACAUCUCAAGGAUGAUCGAUAAAAACAGGAUGCACCUGAGCUCAAUUUCGAGUCUCAUAGCAAAUGAUCUGAAUACUUUUAUUUUUAAUACAUUUGCUAAAAAAAACUAAAAAAACUGUUUUUGCUUUUUCAUUAUGGGGUAUUGUGUGUAGAUUGACGAGGAAAACAAUUUAAUAGAACCUGAUGGAGAGGGCUUCAGAGUACCACAACCAACCUGUGAUCAGCCCCUCUCAGUUCAUCCAGACUACUCUGCUGCAGUGGAGAAUCUAUAUCAGUGUAGACAAUGUGGCAAAAACUUUACACGUAAGGGAAACUUAAUCUUGCAUUUAAAAAUACACACAGGAGAGAAACCUCAUCUGUGCAAACAGUGUGGCAAAAGCUUCAUCCAGAAGGAUGAUUUGAACACACAUACAAGGGUACACACAGGAGAGAAUCCCUAUCAGUGCAAACAAUGUGGCAAAAUGUUUAACCAGAAGGGACACUUGACCGUUCAUUCAAGGAUACAUACAGGGGAGAGACCAUAUCAGUGCAAAAACUGUGGCAAAGCCUUCAACCAGAAGAUAGAAUUGACAUUGCAUAUGAGAGCUCAUACAGGAGAGAGACCAUAUAUCUGCCCUGUAUGCAAGAAAGGUUACAUCACAUUAAGCUAUUUAAGAUGUCUUAAGCUAUUUAAGAAAUAUUACCAAUGCAAAGAAUGUUACAAAUGCUUUGGUUAUAAACAUCGUCUAACAUCACAUAUGAACACUCAUACUAAAGGGCAUAAAUUAUAUUACUACACUGAGUGCAAUAAUAGCCUGAAAUGAAAACAACAAAUUAACAUUUUGUCAUUGUGAAUUUCUUAAUGCGUCCAACUUCUGAAUAAUUAUGUUCUGUUUUCUGGCAAUUGACAACAGAACAAACUGAGUAAUGUGUGUUGAGGGGAAAUCACCAGUCAGCAUCAGAUUGGUAAACUGAAUCUAGCGCUCAGUUUCAGGGACCUACCCUCCAGAACACUGCUGGCUUCAGGAAGUCCUCACCACUGUAUCUAGCACAUAGCACACACUUCUAAACAACAGGAGUUCCUAUUCAAUUGUUUAACAAUGACAUACAGGAUAUCUUCUAUUUGUACUGAUGACUGCAUGUUAGCAUAUUGAAGUAGCCUAUUACAUUUUUGUUGACAAUCUAUAUAAUACAGCAAAUCAUUUGUUUAAAUAAAGUUGUUUUUUCAAUGGA